AUUGAACGCUGGCGGCAUGCCUUACACAUGCAAGUCGAACGGCAGCACGGGUGCUUGCACCUGGUGGCGAGUGGCGAACGGGUGAGUAAUAUAUCGGAACGUACCUUAUUGUGGGGGAUAACGCAGCGAAAGCUGUGCUAAUACCGCAUAAUCCCUAAGGGGGAAAGCGGGGGACCGUAAGGCCUCGCGCAAUUAGAGCGGCCGAUACCUGAUUAGCUAGUUGGUGAGGUAAAGGCUCACCAAGGCAACGAUCAGUAGCUGGUCUUAGGUGACGAUCAGCCACACUGGGACUGGGACACGGCGCAGACUCCUACGGGAGGCAACAGUGGGGAAUUUUGGACAAUGGGGGCAACCCUGAUCCAGCAAUGCCGCGUGAGUGAAGAAGGCCUUCGGGUUGUAAAGCUCUUUUGUCAGGGAAGAAACAGCAGCUCUAACACAGUUUGCGAAUGACGGUACCUGAAGAAUAAGCACCGGCUAACUACGUGCCAGCAGCCGCGGUAA
rnacentral:rRNA from 1 species